rnacentral:rRNA from 1 species
CCUACGGGAGGCAGCAGUGGGGAAUAUUGGUCAAUGGGCGCAAGCCUGACCCAGCAACGCCGCGUGAAGGAAGAAGGCUUUCGGGUUGUAAACUUCUUUUUUCAGGGACGAAGCGAGUGACGGUACCUGACGAAUAAGCCACGGCUAACUACGUGCCAGGAGCCGCGGCAAUACGGAGGGGGCAAGCGUUAUCCGGAUUUACUGGGUGUAAAGGUCGUGUAGGCUGGACUGGAAGUCAGAUGUGAAAACCACGGGCUCAACCUGUGGCCUGCAUUUGAAACUGUAUUUCUUGAGUACCGGAGAGGCAGACGGAAUUCGUAGUGUAGCGGUGAAAUGCGUAGAUAUUACGAGGAACACCAGUGGCGAAGGCGGUCUGCUGGACAGCAACUGACGCUGAGGCGCGAAAGCGUGGGGAGCAAACAGGAUUAGAUACCCGAGUAGUC